rnacentral:rRNA from 1 species
UACGUAGGGUGCAAGCGUUAAUCGGAAUUACUGGGCGUAAAGCGUGCGCAGGCGGUUAUGUAAGGGAGUUGUGAAAUCCCCGGGCUCAACCUGGGAAUUGCAUCUGUGACUGCAUAGCUAGAGUACGGUAGAGGGGGAUGGAAUUCCGCGUGUAGCAGUGAAAUGCGUAGAUAUGCGGAGGAACACCGAUGGCGAAGGCAAUCCCCUGGACCUGUACUGACGCUCAUGCACGAAAGCGUGGGGAGCAAACAGG